ACACUGAUGGUGAAACGGUAUCAUGCUUGCCUUCCACUUCCGAGUAACAGGGUGACAGCAAGCGGCGCGGGUUCGACUCCCGCUCAGUGUA